AGGCUAAUGAGCCUUGCUUUGUUUUUAAGGGCCAAGAAACUUCAUCUAGAGCUGGCUAAGGUUCACCUGCAGGGCUAGAGAUUUCUGUUGUUCCUUCUAGGGUAAGACCGUGCAGACGACCCACCACCAGCAUUUGCCCAUUGUUUCCCAUUGGGAUCCAGCUUUGCUGAAUUUUUUGGGUGUUUCCAUAAAAGCUCAGUGUGGACACAUUCAGGAUGGCCUGAAAGAAAAUGGAGAAGUGCUUCCAAUGUUACUGAGCACACUUACAAAUAUCGUCCUGGGGCAGAAGAGUGAAGUCACUGCACGAACAAGGGAGCACAGACAGUUUAACCCUGCCAAGACUGCACAGCCCAGAAUAUCCAUAUAUCCAAAACAGAGCCUGGAUGGAGAUUCCUGAAUGUCCGCAAAAGCAGCAAAUAAAACAGCAGUAAUUCUUUCCAAUGACAUUUAUAUGCUGCUAUUAACUCUGCUUUAGCUGGUAUAGUUUAGGGCUUCUAGAAAACAUGACUUCAGAUGAAAUAACUACUGUAGGUUUCUGCUGAGAGGAGCUGCAAGUUUUGCCUGGACUCCUACACAGAUUGUCUGCCAUUUUUCAUUGUAUUCAAAAUCCUGGAGAGGAAGAGGUAUCCUAGAACCAAAAUUGAUAUUUUUAUGCCCUUAUGUCAUUCCCAGCAUUUUCUAGGCCUGAGGUUUUGCAUCUUUGCCAGAUGAAAAGAGAAAGAUAAGACCUCUUGCCCAGCUUGGGCAUGCUAUAA